UUAUUACAUCAUUAUGCAACUUCCUUCAUGCCCCAAAUUUUCCUCAAAUGUUCAAAAAUCACAUGUGAACUAAGAUAUGAGCUACAGAAAAUGAACACUAAACCUCUCUCUCACUAAAGAAAAGGCACCUGUGAAUCAUACAGUUGCUGAAAAAUCUGGAUUUGAUUCAAGAAACAUCACUAAAAAAAACACUGCCUAUGAGAACUAAAACUAAACAGUAGCAAAACUUGUAAUAAUAUCUUAGUGAAACAUUUCUCACUUUCCUCAUCUUCAAAAAAAGGGGGAAAUAAGAGUAUUCACUUCCCAAGGAUGUUUUGAGGAUACAAUGAGAUCAAAUUUGUAUAGAUCUUUGGAAUCAUCAAAGGGCCAUAUAAAAAAUAAAUAUUGCCCAGAGGAAACUGGAAAGGCUUCUGGUAUUUGAGAACAAGCAAUAACAUAGAAUCAAUGAAGAACUCUGAAGAAAAGGAACAAAAGAUGCCAACAAGCAAGUGUACAAUAAAAAGAGAAGACAGGCUGGUAUCAUUGAGAAGAGAGAGAUGAUAGAUAGGCUGCCAGUCUAAUGGGAAGUUCAUGAGCUUAAGAGAAAGUACGGAAAACCUCUAGUACACUUAUAGAAAAGCACAGUCAAGAGUAACACAAAAUGAACAGAUAUGAAUGAAUUA